GAUGAACGCUAGCGGCAGGCUUAAUACAUGCAAGUCGUGGGGCAGCACAGAAUAGCAAUAUUUGGGUGGCGACCGGCAAACGGGUGCGGAACACGUACACAACCUUCCGAUAAGUGGGGGAUAGCCCAGAGAAAUUUGGAUUAAUACCCCGUAACAUAUAGAGAUGGCAUCGUCUUUAUAUUAUAGCUUCGGCGCUUAUUGAUGGGUGUGCGUCUGAUUAGGUAGUUGGCGGGGUAACGGCCCACCAAGCCUACGAUCAGUAGCUGAUGUGAGAGCAUGAUCAGCCACACGGGCACUGAGACACGGGCCCGACUCCUACGGGAGGCAGCAGUAAGGAAUAUUGGACAAUGGGCGCAAGCCUGAUCCAGCCAUGCCGCGUGAAGGAUGAAUGUCCUCUGGAUUGUAAACUUCUUUUAUUUGGGACGAAAAAAGAGCAUUCUUGCUCACUUGACGGUACCAAGUGAAUAAGCACCGGCUAACUCCGUGCCAGCAGCCGCGGUAAUACGGAGGGUGCAAGCGUUAUCCGGAUUCACUGGGUUUAAAGGGUGCGUAGGCGGGUAGGUAAGUCAGUGGUGAAAUCUCGGAGCUUAACUCCGAAACUGCCAUUGAUACUAUCUAUCUUGAAUAUUGUUGAGGUUUGCGGAAUAUGUCAUGUAGCGGUGAAAUGCAUAGAUAUGACAUAGAACACCUAUUGCGAAGGCAGCAGGCUAAACAUAUAUUGACGCUGAGGCACGAAAGCGUGGGGAUCAAACA
rnacentral:ncRNA from 2 species